AAAAAGCAGUAACCAUUUACAUUGUCAAAACAACUCAAUUGCAGUGGUCAUAGCGACCAUGUUUUAACUGGUGAUCAAAACUAUCAAUAUUUGCAUUAGAACUUGUUUACCAGUUAAAUUUACCUAAUAAUGUAGUCAUGCGAACAAACGUGUAAUAUUUUUCGAGCUGCGAUAUAUUCUGACACCGUAACCUGAAACUGUCAAAACGUUGUCUGCAAAAAUUUUGUCAUCAUCUCGUAGUUGCUCGAAAUUGUGAACAAUUUUCUCCUUAUCGGACAGUUUUUCACUAGAUUCAUCAGUGUCUGUUACUUGACAAAAUAUAAUUCCUGCUGUGGGAAUAAGAUUAGGUAACUUCGGUAUACCAGGCCAACAGCGAAAGCGCUGAUGUUUGCGAGUGAAAAAAGCGGAGAAAUAGAAGUGAAUUCUCUUGCUUUCGGGCAAGGAUGGUAACGAAAUCUACUGAUAAGGAACCGUGCCGGGAUUGUUCGAACGAGGCCCGAGUAGUGCAGGAGAAUGACGUUGGAUGCCAGCGUUUUACCAUCAGAGCUGGUAUGGUAACCACCGCUCAGCCACUAGUUGGGCUAUCCGGCUUGAAUGUGCACUGUGCAGCGGAACACUAUCCACAAAACAUUCUGGGAUGCGUUCGACAACGGCAAAAAGAGAAUCUAUAGAAUAUAAACUUCUUCCACCCAGCCAUGAAUUUCCUGUAUCAAAACCAAAACACCAAUCCUACGAACGAUAUCACUCGAAAGGUAUCUUAAAACGAAACUAGAUGCUGAAACAUUUGCUUAUUUCGCCGGCAGUCAAAGUCCUGUUUCAGGAUCUAGAAUGGAACGAUCUACAGUGGAGUGAGGAGCAGUUGCAUUGUGCUUACAUUAUCCAGUAGCUGAAAAACUCACUCCAAGGACGAAAUACACGGCUAGCGGUAGUUUUAAUUCAAAAAGGUGCUAGUAUACCUCAAGGAGAUGAUUUUCUUGCUUCCGAGGGGGCAUCCCACUUAACCAGCACCUGUGAUAUUACCGCAAAAAUGCUCUUCGUGCUUCUUGAGGUGAAAACCAAAGCUGGUUUCGUGAGCUACAAAAUUUGUCGCCUAUUUUUCAAACUCAACGCACCAAAGGAUUCAAUAUCGUCAAAUAUCGCAACCGAACCGGUGCCAAGGAGCUGCUCUUCGAGCACUACAUCUGGCUGAGUGUGCAGUACAGUUCGGAAUUUACACAUGAUAUUUGUUUUUCGCAACGGGUUUGCAUACUGGU